rnacentral:lncRNA from 1 species
ACACAGCAUUCCGAAAGGUUUGGGCUACCUGACUAUUAUGGCACCAAGAAAUCUCUGGUAUAUGAGAACUUUCACUUUAAUUCAAAAUGUUGGAUGACCUGAUUUUCAGCAGAAAUGCUCUUCAAAUCAGUUUCACUUAGGCUUUUUGGUGUGAAGUGAAACGAUGCAGACAAUGAGCUUUGGAGAAUGAGGAACCACUGAAUAACUUACUAUGGAAGUGGAUACUGACAUGGCAAAGAAACGACAGCCUGGAGUUUUUAACAGAAUGUUCCCAAUGAGCAGGACCUGAAGAUGUUUCUUCGUUCCAAAGGAGCUAGCAAAGAAGUGAUUGUUAGCAUCAUAUCAAAAUAACUAAAAGCUAUAACACACACUCUUGAACGUCUUUCAAAACAAUGGGAUCUAUGAAGGAUUAUGAUAUCAGAUCUUGAUACUGUAAAUAUUUUGGGCCAUUCUCCUGAAUGCUUUCUUUUGUCCCAUGAAAACCUAAACUUAGGGAUUCUAUGAGUUCCUCUACUCAGCUGGAUUUACCUGUAAAUGCCUUUGUUGAUUGUUGACCAAUGUCCCUUGUACCUUUUCCAAUAGUCUCGAUCUGAAUAAACAGAUGGUUAAAGUUUUGCAGGAAGUAUAUUUUUCAUUGGGUCACAAUGAUCCCACAGAUUUUGUAAGAAAGAUGAUUUUUUAAAACCCUUUCAUCUUAAUUCAGGGUACCAAGCAGGUAAAAACUAACAUUGAAUUUUUACAGGCAAGUUUCAAUUUGAACAGUAGGGAAUUGCUAUUUUAAUAUGUGGUCCAGGAACCAAAAUCCUAGACCUUUCCAAUGACUAUGCCAAAACAAACUACACAAAUAUCAAACAGAAGCUGUUUUCUCUCUGAGGUACUGAAGAAGAGGUACAAAAGCUUGCCUUAAGUUAUCCAGAUGUGGGGAAAAAAAGUUAUCCAGAUGUGAUCUUUUGGCAGAGAAAAAGUUUAGUGAGAAGAAUAUUUUAGCUUGGUGCAAAAGUAACUAUGGUUUUUGGGCAAAAACCAUAGUUACUUUUGCACCAAUCUAAUGGAUUGUCUCAUAGAAUAAUAAAUUAGCCUUCUGUGAAAGUAAUUUGUGAUAACUGAAAAAUCCUUGGGUUCUGGAUUCAAGCAUAAGUACUUUAUAAAGUCAAAUCAAAGAAUUAGUAAAUGCUGGCUGUAACUUGAGGACAUCAAGCAUCACUCUUCUACUCUGGAGUUAAAAAAAAAAGAUACAAAGUAAAUUUAAAAAGUUAAG